rnacentral:rRNA from 1 species
CUACGGGGUGCUGCAGUGAGGAAUAUUGCACAAUGGGGGGAACCCUGAUGCAGCAACGCCGCGUGGAGGAUGACGCAUUUCGGUGUGUAAACUCCUUUUAUAUGUCAAGAAAAUGACGGUAGCAUAUGAAUAAGCACCGGCUAACUCCGUGCCAGCAGCCGCGGUAAUACGGAGGGUGCAAGCGUUACUCGGAAUCACUGGGCGUAAAGGACGCGUAGGCGGGCUUGUAAGUCAGGUGUGAAAUCCUACAGCUUAACUGUAGAACUGCACUUGAAACUACGAGCCUAGAGUAUGGGAGGGGGAGAUGGAAUUAGUGGUGUAGGGGUAAAAUCCGUAGAUAUCACUAGGAAUACCUAAAGCGAAGGCGAUCUCCUGGAACAUAACUGACGCUAAGGCGUGAAAGCGUGGGGAGCAAACAGGGUUAGAUACCCUUGUAGUC